rnacentral:rRNA from 1 species
AUUGAACGCUGGCGGCAGGCCUAACACAUGCAAGUCGAGCGGAUGAAGGGAGCUUGCUCCUGGAUUCAGCGGCGGACGGGUGAGUAAUGCCUAGGAAUCUGCCUGGUAGUGGGGGAUAACGUCCGGAAACGGGCGCUAAUACCGCAUACGUCCUGAGGGAGAAAGUGGGGGUUCUUCGGACCUCACGCUAUUUGCUGAGCCUAGGUCGGAUUAGCUAGUUGGUGGGGUAAAGGCCUACCAAGGCGACGAUCCGUAACUGGUCUGAGAGGAUGAUCAGUCACACUGGAACUGAGACACGGUCCAGACUCCUACGGGAGGCAGCAGUGGGGAAUAUUGGACAAUGGGCGAAAGCCUGAUCCAGCCAUGCCGCGUGUGUGAAGAAGGUCUUCGGAUUGUAAAGCACUUUAAGUUGGGAGGAAGGGCAGUAAGUUAAUACCUUGCUGUUUUGACGUUACCAACAGAAUAAGCACCGGCUAACUUCGUG